AUACUUACCCGGCAGGCAACCAUCGGUGAUCAGGAGGGCCGAGAUUUCAGUAUGACCCGAUCCCAUUGCACUUCAGGUGUGCUGACGCCUGGGAUAUCCUAAAUGCAGGAUAAUCAACUGUAAAAUUUGUGGUACUGGGAACUGUGUUUGCACUCUCCCCUG